rnacentral:rRNA from 1 species
GUCGCAAGACCAAAGGGGGGGACCUUCGGGCCUCAUGCCAUCAGAUGUGCCCAGAUGGGAUUAGCUAGUAGGUGGGGUAACGGCUCACCUAGGCGACGAUCCCUAGCUGGUCUGAGAGGAUGACCAGCCACACUGGAACUGAGACACGGUCCAGACUCCUACGGGAGGCAGCAGUGGGGAAUAUUGCACAAUGGGCGCAAGCCUGAUG